rnacentral:misc_RNA from 1 species
GAUGAAGAACGCAGCGAAAUGCGAUACUUGGUGUGAAUUGCAGAAUCCCGCGAAUCAUCGAGUUUUUGAACGCAAGUUGCGCCCGAAGCCAUUCGGCCGAGGGCACGUCUGCCUGGGUGUCACGCAUCGUUGCCCCCCCAAACUCCGGUUCGGGCGGGGCGGAAGUUGGCCUCCCGUGCGUGCCUGCGCGCGCGGUUAGCCCAAAAGCGAGUCCUCGGCGACGAGCGCCACGACAAUCGGUGGUUUUUUUACCCUCGUUCCUCGUCGUGCGUGUCCCGUCGGCCGAACGCGCUCUUGUGACCCUCACGCGUCGCCUCGGCGGCGCUCCCAACGCGACCCCAGGUCAGGCGGGACUACCCGCUGAGUUUAAGCAUAUCAAUAAGCGGAGGA